GACGAACGCUGGCGGCGUGCCUAAUACAUGCAAGUAGAACGCAGUUGCGAACGGGUGAGUAACACGUAGGUAACCUGCCUUAUAGCGGGGGAUAACUUUUGGAAACGAUAGCUAAUACCGCAUACUGUGAGAUGGACCGGCGUUGUAUUAGGUAGUUGGUGAGGUAAAGGCUCACCAAGGCGACGGUACAUUGCCGACCUGAGAGGGUGAUCGGCCACAAUGGGAACGGGGCACGGCCCAGAACCCUACGGGAGGCAGCAAUAGGGAAACUUCGGCAAUGGACGGAAGUCUGACCGCGCACCGGCGCGUGAGUGGAGAAGGUUUUCGGGUCGGAAAGCUCUGUUGUUCGAGGAGCGGUACCUAACCAGGAAGGAACGGCUAACUACGUGCCAGCAGCCGCGGUAAUUC
rnacentral:rRNA from 1 species